UCGCAGGCGAUGAUCGGGAUUAGUAUAUAUGGGAAGCGGCACAGAGAAGAAACUGUCAGGUGGGAGGUUUCUGCGCAGAGUAUAUAGAACCGGCCCGGGAGCUGUUGUGUGAAGGCACAACGUAGAACCGGCGUUAACGGUGAAAGAGUGAACUGUAGGCUGCAGUUAAUUAGGGUGGUACCGCCGAAACUUUCGGUCCCUUUU
rnacentral:ncRNA from 1 species